rnacentral:lncRNA from 1 species
AUGUGCAUUGCUUUAGUUUUUUCCCUUAAAGCUUUGCCACGAACCAAACGUUUCUCUGGCGACCCUGAGGUUUUCACCCCUCGCUUCUGGGCGGAGAGCAAGGAAAUGCACCAUCAUGGUUUUGCUCUUGGAGUGGAAGAGACUGCCAAGGAUGAGAAGACGCGGAGGGGGAAGCAUCAUCCGAGGGAAGGCUCCAAGGGUACGCGGCCAGCUUCAAGGGAGAACAAAGCUGCAUUAACACUUUGGUUUGUUGCUGACUUUUAGGCUUGGAAAAUUGCCCAUUUGGCUGCUGAGGCAGCAGCCUGGGUUGUUUUGAAACUUGGCUGUGAAUAGAAUGCAAAGGGAAUUUUCCCCCUCCAGGUUCAUGCAUCACUAACCAUGCCAGGCGUGCUGCUCCGCGCCGUGCGCCCUGAAUGAAUAAACCACCUCUCAGAAAGAACCGACGUGGCUAA